GAUUAACGCUGGCGGUAUGCCUGAUACAUGCAAGUCGAGCGGACCUUCGGGUCAGCGGCGAACGGGUGAGUAACACGUAUCUAAUCUGCCUUAUAGUCUGGAAUAACUGCUGGAAACGGUAGCUAAUGCCGGAUAAAGAUAUUAUGAUAACAUUUUUUAAUGAAAGGUCCGUUUGGAUCGCUAUAAGAUGAGGAUGCGGCGCAUUAGUUAGUAGGUGAGGUAAUGGCUCACCUAGACGAUGAUGCGUAGCCGGCCUGAGAGGGUGAACGGCCACAAUGGAACUGAGACACGGUCCAUACUUCUACGGAAGGCAGCAGUAGGGAAUCUUUCACAAUGGACGAAAGUCUGAUGAAGCAAUACCGCGUGAGUGAUGACGGCCUCGGUUGUAAGAC
rnacentral:rRNA from 1 species